rnacentral:rRNA from 1 species
UACGAAGGGGGCUAGCGUUGUUCGGAUUUACUGGGCGUAAAGCGCACGUAGGCGGAUCGUUAAGUCGGGGGUGAAAUCCUGGAGCUCAACUCCAGAACUGCCUUCGAUACUGGCGAUCUCGAGUCCGGAAGAGGUGAGUGGAAUUCCGAGUGUAGAGGUGAAAUUCGUAGAUAUUCGGAGGAACACCAGUGGCGAAGGCGGCUCACUGGCUCGACACUGACGCUGAGGUGCGAAAGCGUGGGGAGCAAACAGG